rnacentral:rRNA from 1 species
UACAGAGGUGGCAAGCGUUGUUCGGAAUUACUGGGCGUAAAGGGCGCGUAGGCGGCCUUCUAAGUCAGACGUGAAAUCCCCCGGCUUAACCUGGGAACUGCGUCUGAUACUGGAGGGCUUGAGUAUGGGAGAGGGAUGUAGAAUUCAGGUGUAGCGGUGAAAUGACGUAGAUAUCUGGAGGAAUACCGGUGGCGAAGGCGGCAUCCUGGACCAUUACUGACGCUGAGGCGCGAAAGCAUGGGGAGCGAACAGG